UUAAAGUUGUGGGUAGAGCCUGUUGUUGACUAAGGGCUUGUAUUAUUGAAGAGAUUCGUGACGUUAAGAAAACUCUCAAAAAUGCCUUGACUCCUCGAUGAAGAGCUCCAGAGAGCAUCACAGCUGGAAGAGUGGGGCUACCCAUUCCUGUUGGAGUUUGGAUGAUGCUAUUGUGAUCCCACAGAUGCCAGACAUGGACUUCAAGAUGAGUACAACCAUGCACCACACUAUGGGAACAUCUGAUCUACUCCAGGCUCAACUGGUGAUGGAAGUCUUUCAAAAUAUUGAUGGGUGUGUUGACAUGUGCUUGUAAUCCCAACACUUGGGAGCCAGAGUGGGAGAACCAGGAGUUCACGGCCCCCUAUCUAUUCUUUGGAAGCCAUCUCAUGGAGGAGGAGGACCUGCCAGUCUUCUCAUGGAGGAAGACGCUUCCUUUGACUCGUGAAAAAAAAUCUAUAUCUGAAGUGGAUGUGGGAAGAUGGGCCCCCUUUGGAAACUUAUUGGGAUUCAGGCCAUUGUGUAAACAAACUGACGCAUCUUAUAGUUUGUUAGCUAGACUGGCAACUUCUGUAGCAGCCUAGAGCCAUUACUGGGCUCUUGUUUUUUUU